GCAGCAGGAAGUAAGUAGACAGAGCGGCAAGUUGUUACUAGCUCUUUGUGCAUCAUAUCAACAAAUACGGUCCUGGCCUAGAAGAAGCAGGAUGGACUGAGCAUUGAGGAGCAGACCCCAGCAGGGCAGACAGAACAACAGCAAUAUGAUGACGCCUCGCUGAAGGAUCACGCCCACACGUAAUACAUGCUUUUCAUUGGACGGUAUGAAUAAUCACAUCAUGGAGAAAACCAAAUUGAAGCCUUGAGCACUCACAGCAGAUGCUAGUCCAUAGCCGGCCAUCACCUCGUUCCUCAGACGGCCACAGAACAUUGUAAUCACAAAAGGAAGUAAAUAAUUGAGGAUUCGAGAGAUGAGCUAAAAAGAAGACAUGAAAAAGACAUGUUGUCACUUAUCAAUCAUGUGAUCUUGGCAUGUUGUGCUCGCAGAUCCUUACAAGGGGCCCCAUCAUUCUCAAGAGAUGGUACAGUUCGUCCCUGAUGUUCCGGGGAAUCGUGCGCCGCAGCCAGCUGCAGCAGAACAUCUUGUCACUGGCUGCCUCCUCCAUGUUUGCCAGAAGUGUUUCCCAAGUACUGCACUUCCUUUUCUUCUUACCUCUGUUUUACAAACUUUGGUUACUAAUUCAUAGAGAGGCUGUCAUUUCCCAUUGGAGCUGCUCGAGCAGAGCAGAAAAGUCCAUCUAGAUAAUCAGGAGUCACCACGUCCUGCCAAUGUUGUAAUCUUAUUUCACUUAUCUGGUAAGGACUUCUGGAGGUGAAGGAAUUUGGGAGAGGCCUUCUCUUAGCCAAUCACUGCAGAAGGGCAAUGAUGAUAAUGAUCCACUGGGGUCGCGGGUAUGCUGGAGCCUAUCCCAGCAAGGGCCGGGGUUCACCCUGGACUGGUCUCCAGCUAAUCACAGGGCACAUAUACACAAAUAAUCAUUCACACAUUCAUACCUACGGAGUGGCCAUUUAUGUGGGAGGAAACCGGAAUACCGGGAGAAAACUCAUACACAAACUCCACAAACUCAGCAAACUCUGUGGAGAUCCAAUUCCAGGUCUUUCCAAUGUCCUGACUGUGUGGUCUACAUGCUAACCACUUGGCCACCAAAUACCAUGAAAGAAAAAAAAUCAGCAAUUCAAAACACAUAACGGAAAAUGUAAACAAUAAUGUCUUGUGUUGACUCAUGCUACUCACUACGGUUAGAAAAAAGGACGUACACAUAGAAAUAAAAAAAAUGCUGUAUUUUGUAAACCCCAAUCAAGUGGUUUCCGAACGUUCCGACAGUGGCGUACCCCUUCAGCAUUUCACCUGAAUCCAUGUACCCACUAAUCUUGCACGCUUAAAAAAAACAUACGCUCAUCUUAAAUGACUUAAAAUAUUCAACAUAAUUAAUAGUUUAGCAAUUCAUAGACAAAAAGUGUGUAUUUUGAGUGGUGACAGUUGGAUAAAGUUUGUCAAAUGCGAACUGAUAAAUAGAUAAGUGAUCCUCCUACGUAUUGUUUAUUCCAGUCUGAUCAUGGCAUCCUUAUGUUUGAAUGGCUUCAAUUGUUUUUGUCAGUAUUAUGUACUUUGGGCUGCAUGUGCAUGUUAGGUGUGAUUCCUGUAAUUUUCAAGUGUAUGUCAAUGCAGGAGCAACUUGUGCUCGAGUAAUUACACAAUGUACAUGAAUGCACCAUUCCAAAAACACUGACUGUGUAUUCAAUCAAAAACCAGAAAAAAAAUAAAAACAACCGACUGGCAGAAAAUAUCCCUAAGAUUUCUUAAUUAAAAGUGUGUAUUUUGAGUGGUGACAGUUGGAUAAAGUUUGACAUGCGGACUGAUAAAUAGAUAAGUGAUCCUCCUACGUAUCGUUUAUUCCAGUCUGAUCAUGGCAUCCUUACGUUUGAAUGGCUUCAAUUGUUGUUUUUGUCACUAUUAUGUACUUUGGGCUGCAUGUGCAUGUUAGGUGUGUUUCUUGUAAUUUUCAAGUGUAUGUCAAUGCAGGAGCAACUUGUGCUCGAGUAAUUACACGAUGCAUAUGAAUGCACCAUUCCAAAAACAUUGACUGUGUAUUCAAUCAACACAGCCAGAAAAAAAUAAAAGCAACCAAAUGGCACAAAAUAUCCCAAAGAUUUCUUAAUUAAAAGUGUGCCCUGAAAAGGUUAAAUAGCUUGUCCCGAUGCAACCUUGGAAGCCAUGAGCUUUCAUGCACAUCCUUUUGCAUUGCUAAUAAUUUUUCAGUGAAAUCAGUGUGAGCCUGUCUCACACACGUAUCACAGAUAAAUAACUGUGUCCUAUCGGAGGUGCGGUAAAGGUUAACCAGUCACAAAGUGAGAGAAGCGAGGCUGUAAAAUCGGGAGUGACAGCCCGCAUCGCAACCUGCAGUUCCAAGACAGCAUGUCUGGAAUGAUGCACUACCUGUUGAUUCAUCCCGUUGACUGCUUCCAACUUGCCCGGAAGCGUGUUACCGCAUAAGCAUGAUGCUGAUUACGCAGCAGAAGCGAGGAUGACUAUUUGCCACAGGUGGCAGCUGCAGUCCAGUGCACAAAAUGAUUUCCAUGCAUCAGAGUGUCUGUGUUGAGUCUCUGGUUGAGAACUGCUCUCCUAAGACCUUAAGCCCUCCUUGGGGGAAAUCUCAUUUCCACAUCAUGGGUGCAGAUGCUUCGCGGCAUGAUUGAAAACAAUACAUGCUCAAACAUGCAUCCCGAUCACUGAUGAAAAUAACGCAAUUUAAAAUUAAAAUGAAAAAAAUUCAGUAACGGGUAAUCUAAUUACUUUUAUGUUACCAAACGCCGUUACCAUUUUAGACAAUUGUAAUCUGAUGCAUGUUCAAAUGAAAUUAAACCAUUACCAUAACUAAUCUGUAGCGCAGUGAAAGUGUGAGACUAUUGCAAUAUGGACGAUGUGAGAUAACCACAUAAGCAAUGAGGAUUGGUUCAGAUUUUCGUAAAAUUGCAUCUUGAGCCAAUCAGAGAACUUGAGUGGGUGGGUGUUUAGAGCACAUAAGCAACGAGGAUCGGCUAAGGUUUAUUAAGAUUGCGUUUUCAGCCAAUCAGAGAACUUGGGUGGGCGGGUGUUUAGAGCACAUCCAAACAGCGUUUCCCAAAUGGAAGUACAGACAGUACUUUAACCUUGUUGAUGUCAAAGGUAAAAUGUACUUUAUGCCCCCGAAAAAAAACUUUGUCCACGUCUUGUGUGAACAACUCAAACCCACAGAAACACCUAUGGACUGCAAUAAAUGCAAACCUCUGUAAUGGUACUGUGUGUGGGGGGGUAGUUACUUUUACUGGUAACUAGUGACUUUUGUAUUGGAGUAAGUCAGUUACUUUUUUUUGAGAAGUAGCUAGUAGCUAUAACUAAUUACUUUUUUAAAGUAACGUACCCAACACUGAUCUCGAUACAACACCCCCCCCGAUCUUGAUGCUUCAUAUGUUAGCGACCAUUCAACAAUUGAAACAAAUGCAGCAGGACGUUUGUCAUACCAAAGAGAACUAGCCCUUAGGCAAAGAGAUGAGAUGAGAGAAGAUCUUUUUAAAGUUUGACAUCCAUUUGAUGAUUGACCGCGUGAUUGAAAGUAGAAUAAAAGAAUGUCAAAGUGCCAGCACAAAGUCCAGACCCGACAUUUGGCUCAAAAACAAGGCUGACUUUUGUCAUUUUGUAACUGGGAUGUGGUGCUUGUUAAAGUGGAACAUGCACUGCGAGUAAUUGGACUACAGAGAGCUAUGAGAGACACUAAUUAUUGUAUUUUCGUACAGUUGCUCGCAGUGGCGUGCAGUCAGGUGAUGCAGAUGAAAAAUAAAAAUAAUAAUGAUAACAUAAGUAAAAAUGACCAGUGGUUUAAUUUGACCCAUCACAGCUUGAACAUUGACAGAUUGACAAAUUAAUGGCUUGCAUUACCAUAUAAAAUAUAUAACAACAGAGGGCCGAAAAAAAACAUGCUAUGACGUCCACUCAGAGAACGGUGACGUGACAUUAAUGCAAACUGGCACCUUUGUUCAAAGCACACUUCCACUGGUGGCACUUUGUGUUUGAGAUGCAAAGAGUGUGACAAGCCUGACGUCCUCUCAGCUUUAAAUCAAUCAACAUAUUAUAAUGAAUGCCAUGUGUGCCACUGCCAUGCAUUUGUGUCUGUCACUUGUCAUUUGCUCUCACACAGAUAUUAGACGUACUGGAAACACUUUCCCUCAACGAGACCCUCUCAAUGUCCACACUGUCACCUAUUAAAGUUCAGCUGUUUUAUCCAAAGGCCAGAUAUGUACCUGUAUAUUCAUUUUCAGUGCUAUUUUUUUCAAUAACAUUCAUGUUUAUUAACAGUCUAUAACCACUAGCUCAUGUAUUGUUAUAUGACUUUAUUAUCUUUUUCUUCCCACUGCCUCACAAUAAGAUGUGUAAGAUUCAUUUUUUGAAGUUGAGUUAAUUGUUGUGUCCUCAAUGUAAAGACAGGAGGACAAAAAAUAUAUAUAUUUAAGCCGCAUAAAAUGGCAUAUUGUGGCGUGCACAAGUCCGCGAGGACCAGGCAGGUCUUUAUUUGACAGAAGCAAAUAUACGUACAGCUAUCAGUGCACUCACAAAGGACCUGGAGCCCAGAGGGAGGCUGACGUCAUCACAGCAGCUCAAUGAAUGUGUUGCUCAGAUGCAAUGCCUGAUAGGAAAAUGUUAAAAUAUUUAUGGGUUUUUCCAUUUUAUUUCUCAGGUAUACCUCUGGAGUGUUAAAU